rnacentral:rRNA from 1 species
GACAGAGGCCUCAAGCGUUAGGCGGAAUCACUGGGCUUAAAGCGUGUGUAGGCGGAUCGUUAAGUGCCUUGUGAAAUCCCACGGCUUAACUGUGGAACGGCUGGGCAUACUGGCGGUCUUGAGCCAUCUAGGGGCGACUGGAACAAACGGUGGAGCGGUGAAAUGCGUAGAUAUCGUUUGGAACGCCAAUGGUGAAAACAGGUCGCUGGGGA